rnacentral:tRNA from 1 species
GGGGGUAUAGGUCAGUUGGUAGAAUGCUUGCCUUGCAUGCAUAGGCCCUAGGUUUGAUCCCAGUACCACCA